GGAUUAGAUACCCUGGUAGUCCACACCGUAAACGAUGAAUACUAGAUGUCGGGAGUUCUUACCCUCUCGGUGUCGCAGCUAACGCAUUAAGUAUUCCGCCUGGGGACUACGGUCGCAAGAUUAAAACUCAAAGAAAUUGACGGGGGCCCGCACAAGCGGUGGAGUAUGUUGUUUAAUUCGAGGCAACGCGAAAAACCUUACCUGGGCUUGACAUCCCUCGCUAUCCUGUGAAAGCAGGAGUUCCCUUCGGGGACGGGGUGACAGGUGCUGCAUGGCUGUCGUCAGCUCGUGCCG
rnacentral:rRNA from 1 species